UGGGGAAUUUUGGACAAUGGGCGAAAGCCUGAUCCAGCCAUGCCGCGUGCAGGAUGAAGGCCUUCGGGUUGUAAACUGCUUUUGUACGGAACGAAACGGCCUUUUCUAAUAAAGAGGGCUAAUGACGGUACCGUAAGAAUAAGCACCGGCUAACUACGUGCCAGCAGCCGCGGUAAUACGUAGGGUGCAAGCGUUAAUCGGAAUUACUGGGCGUAAAGCGUGCGCAGGCGGUAAUGUAAGACAGUUGUGAAA
rnacentral:rRNA from 1 species